rnacentral:rRNA from 1 species
AUUGAACGCUGGCGGCAGGCUUAACACAUGCAAGUCGAGCGGGGGAAGGUAGCUUGCUACCUAACCUAGCGGCGGACGGGUGAGUAAUGCUUAGGAAUCUGCCUAUUAGUGGGGGACAACAUUUCGAAAGGGAUGCUAAUACCGCAUACGCCCUAAGGGGGAAAGCAGGGGAUCUUCGGACCUUGCGCUAAUAGAUGAGCCUAAGUCGGAUUAGCUAGUGGGUGGGGUAAAGGCCUACCAAGGCGACGAUCUGUAGCGGGUCUGAGAGGAUGAUCCGCCACACUGGGACUGAGACACGGCCCAGACUCCUACGGGAGGCAGCGGUGGGGAAUAUUGGACAAUGGGGGGAACCCUGAUCCAGCCAUGCCGCGUGUGUGAAGAAGGCCUUUUGGUUGUAAAGCACUUUAAGCGAGGAGGAGGCUACCGAGAUUAAUACUCUUGGAUAGUGGACGUUACUCGCAGAAUAAGCACCGGCUAACUCUGUGCCAGCAGCCGCCGUAACAC